ensembl:lncRNA
CCUGGAUCAGCAAACCAGCUCCUGCGGCUGCCCGGGGGGGUUUUGGUGGGGAGAGGGAGAAAGACAUGUGACCGCAGCCCAGCCACUACAGCAGAAGAGUCCGGGCUGGGGUCCCUGUGCGUCCCACAAGCCCUUACUGCUCGUGACUACAAAGCCCCUCCGGAGGGCCCCCGAGACUGUCCCCGGAGAUGGGUAAAGUCUCUCUCCAGACAAAUACAGAAUCCAGCCUCCAUCUCCGAGGGCUACCAGCGGGGCUCGAAAGGGCUGAUCCUAGCUGGGAACGUCGCAUUCCCGGUCCUAAAAGGAUUUUUCAUAUGCAGGCCAACAGGUCAAAAUUCUUCAGAACUCAGAGACUUU